AGAGUUUGAUCCUGGCUCAGAUUGAACGCUGGCGGCAGGCUUAACACAUGCAAGUCGAGCGGGGAGAUGUAGCUUGCUACAUUUUCUAGCGGCGGACGGGUGAGUAAUGCUUAGGAAUCUGCCUAUUAGUGGGGGACAACAUCUCGAAAGGGAUGCUAAUACCGCAUACGUCCUACGGGAGAAAGCAGGGGACCUUCGGGCCUUGCGCUAAUAGAUGAGCCUAAGUCGGAUUAGCUAGUUGGUGGGGUAAAGGCCUACCAAGGCGACGAUCUGUAGCGGGUCUGAGAGGAUGAUCCGCCACACUGGGACUGAGACACGGCCCAGACUCCUACGGGAGGCAGCAGUGGGGAAUAUUGGACAAUGGGGGGAACCCUGAUCCAGCCAUGCCGCGUGUGUGAAGAAGGCCUUUUGGUUGUAAAGCACGUUAAGCGAGGAGGAGGCUACCGAGACUAAUACUCUUGGAUAGUGGACGUUACUCGCAGAAUAAGCACCGGCUAACUCUGUGCCAGCAGCCGCGGUAAUACAGAGGGUGCGAGCGUUAAUCGGAUUUACUGGGCGUAAAGCGUGCGUAGGCGGCUUUUUAAGUCGGAUGUGAAAUCCCUGAGCUUAACUUAGGAAUUGCAUUCGAUACUGGGAGGCUAGAGUAUGGGAGAGGAUGGUAGAAUUCCAGGUGUAGCGGUGAAAUGCGUAGAGAUCUGGAGGAAUACCGAUGGCGAAGGCAGCCAUCUGGCCUAAUACUGACGCUGAGGUACGAAAGCAUGGGGAGCAAACAGGAUUAGAUACCCUGGUAGUCCAUGCCGUAAACGAUGUCUACUAGCCGUUGGGGCCUUUGAGGCUUUAGUGGCGCAGCUAACGCGAUAAGUAGACCGCCUGGGGAGUACGGUCGCAAGACUAAAACUCAAAUGAAUUGACGG
rnacentral:rRNA from 1 species